UCCAAUAAACAGAAUGAUAAAAUUCGAUAGAUUGUACAAUGAUUUCUUAGCUAUUAUUUACCUAGUAACAACUAUUUCAAAUUCCUAUAAAUUUUAUACGUUUGUUCUGCGAUACUACACCAAAUGAAAUAUAUCUGAAAAUCUAAUAAAUUUCUUAAAUAUGAUUUGGUAUAGUUUUUAUAUUAUAGGUGUGUUUUUCUCUGAAGAAAUUUUCGAGUCGGGCUGUGAAAUUUUGAUUUGGUUGUCGGUAAACGUUUUUUUACUCGCUCAGCUGCUGUUCGAGGAAAAAAAAUGUAUGGACGAGUUCACUGGAUGUCGAAGUGGAAGCUGCGAAGGAUGAUGUCAACGCUAGCGGUAAAGGUAGGUAAACACCUGUUUGUAUGGCGAGAAAUUUAAAUUCGGUUUUCUUCAUUCUCGCUCACAGAUCCGUAGAAAGAAUCCGGUAAACAGUCAGCAGAAGCAUUCCACCAUUGAAGCAGCAGGGAAUCGGCCGGAAGGGCAUCAGCAGCAGAAAAAUACCUUUUUGGGUUCCGAUUUCCAAGUUCCUCAAAAUUCUGCUCUUCCGGCAGCCGAAGUAUGAGCCAGCCCAUUGCACCGGCCGUGCGGUCAUUUCUUCGAUAUGGCCAAAACCGAUUAGUUCAAUUGCAGAAAGUGCCUAGGCAGGAUGAAAUGAUACUUUGGAAGAAAUGGAACUGUAUAGUGUCCAAUAGAAACAUUCGUGCAUACGUUUUUUCUGGGGUUCCGUUUAGUGAAUGAACCGGAAAAAUAGUUUCUCCACGGAUGUGCCAAUGAAAAAAAAAACUAAAACGAAAUUUUCAGAAUCGCUUGACCGGUUCCAGUUCCUGUAGUAUUCGCCAGUAUUCAGACCAGAUUUACCAAACAGUCUGUAAAUUGUUUUGGAAGGAUCAUAUCUUAGAGGUGCAAUAUUUUGCUGGUGGCUACUGUUUUGGAACAUAAACACUGAGGGUGAUAAAUUGCAGUAAUUAAAACGACCGGCAGAAUUCGGACGAAGGAAUGGCUCGACCUUUUCAAAUCAGAUAAAAUAUCCUUACACGAAAAUGGCAAACUCAAAAAGUCAUCUAGAAUGGAUGUUAUUUGUCAUUUUAAAUAUCGGCAAAAAUACCUCACCUAUAACAAGAAACAUAUGGUGAUACUCAAAUGUUGCAAAAAUCCAUGAUUAUUGGAUUUAAAACCGCGUAACGAAAAAUCUAUCUAUUGAAUGGAGAAGAUCCGACUUUCCUAGAGAGCUUCAAACUCGUUUCACCCAAACCAUAAAAAUUCAAUUGAUAAUACCACAUCAACAAUGUUAGAGCUUUAAAUUGUAUUCGCAAGAUUCUCGUGGAGCUUCAGGUAAGAAUAAACAAUAUUCAUCUUCAAAAAUCUCAAACCAUACAUUUUUGUAAAGUAGAAAUAUUUUUCUCAUUUUUGUUUAAGGUAACAUAUCUGCACUCUGCACCCAUCCGCGGCGGCACGUAUAUUGGCGUUGUAUUGUCUGCCGGAUUAAUGAUAGUGUGCACCAAGUGGCAAUUUUACUGGGUUAGUAGCAGAUUCCAGCAUAUCAACGAGGAACGGCGACUGUUUUCAAGUUAAAUAGUCAGACGACUAUCAAAGCUAAAUAAAUUGUAAAUAAAAACAAUUGAAACUGAAAUCACUAUUUAUUAUUUGAAUGAAAAAGAAAACGAAAAGGUUUAAUUUACUGCAUUGAGCUGUAAUUGAAAUCAAAUUCACAAACUAUUACAUUCAUUGAAAUUUCUAAUAAAGGUAAUCGGAACAAAAAUCUAUACAUUUCAUUUUGUGUGAACAUACGUAAAAAGUAUUGGAUUUUCUUUUAGUGCAAAAUCACUAAAAAACCCGAUAAAGCUUAUAGCCCGAUUUCGAUCA